UUUAAAUAGAAAAUCUCUUUUUUUUUUCUCCCAACCCUAGCCUCAUUUCUUGAGGGCCGCUCAAGGGGGGAAGUGGUCACUGACCCUCCUCCCUUCCCCAUAGCCCCCCUCCCUCCCUCCCUCCCUCCCUCUUCUCCUUUUCUGUUCUCUCCCUCCAUCUUUUUCUGGUUUUUUUACCUUCUCCCCUGUCUUGGGCUUUUGGUGGAGCUGGUCUUCUUUCGGUUUGAGCAUGUUUGGCUGUGUCUGUGGCUCUCUUUGAUAGUUGGGUGCUUCUCCCUCUGUGGUGUCUGCUUGUGCCUUAUACUAUGUGCUGAGAUUAAAUGUCUGAUGCCAAUUUUGUGUCCUUGGUUCUCCACCAAACAACCCCUUCAACCAGAUUUAUUUCUUCCUCAACUUCUCAUCCUCUUUUUGCCUUAUCCUCUUUCUGGAUCUGGAAUCUCCUUUGGGAUACAACAACCAUAUCUAUAAGCGCUUUGUCGCUCAUUUCUCGGAUUGUAUUUAGAGCUUUUGCUACGGUUCUUGCUCUGGUGCUUGCACCAAUAUUCUCCAUUCUCUUGGUUUCGGUGUUUUGAUAUAUACCUUGGUGUUGUGAUUGGUUGUUGUUUUCUCUCAGGUGCAUUGGCAGAUUUAGGUGUGAUGGAGAAGGUGACUUUUGGAGGAAGGUUCGAGGGCUGAUGUGUUUCCAAUUUUUGGGGAAUAUCUAUUUUUGGUGGAAGAUCAGUGGGUCUCUAUGUGCAGCAAUGCUGGCCUGUGUGGUGGUGGUGUAUCCCGUCCUUGUUUUAGUUUAAUCUUCUCUAUUUGUGGCAUUUCGAUCCUUUAACUGGCCUUUUUGGCCUUUGUAUUCUCUAUUUGUUUCUUCCCCAUUUAUGAGUUUUGAAUGAAUAUGAUUGAUUCCGACCAAAAAACAAAAAAACUCAUUUUAAUUGGGUUUUCUUACAAUGAAUGGGAUUGUAAUUUGUACAUACAAUUUGAAAACCCAAUUCAACUGAGAAACAAGCAAAUCAAAAUCUACUCCUAUUUUUCAUUUUAUUUUAUCAUUGGUACCCAUCUCAAAUGUGAUCAUGCAUAGUCGAUGCAUAAAAAGGGAAAAAGAAUACUUGGAUGACAUUUGAGAAUUGCUCAAAAACCCAGGAUUUUGCUCAAAAUUCUCUAUGUGAAUACAAAAACAUAUGAUAUAAUGAGUAGUGACUGUUCUAUAUCCUACACAACAUUUCUCAGUUACAGUAUCGCUAGAACUGAACAAAUUCGUACUCGGGGCAGCCUUCUGCUUACGAUACAAACAGAACACCUGAUUUCAGGCCAUCUUCAUUAACUAGGAGCCUUGCCUGCCAAGAAGAAAAAGGGAAAUAAAGUAGAUUGUUGAACAAAUGCAUGACAAUAGAUAGAAAAAUAAAGAAGCAUACUGUGUCCACAAAGGAAAAGGCUUGUGUUGACUUACCAUUUACCUCCUCAGGCUCCUGUGAAAUCAACUGCAUAGAAGAAUCAGUUGAGAAUCCCAGCUUAAUCAUGACUUCUUCUAAACGCUCCAUAUUUGUCAGGUAGAGAUAACCAACCUACAAACAUGCAAGGUGACUUUAUGUUAAACAAGACAGAAGCUAGUUCUUGACUACUGAAUUAGAAGUAAUUUUGAGGAUCUUAAAUUUAAACAAGCAUGUUGAAUAUUAGGGUUUAGAUAGCCAUCAAGAACAUGCUGGAUGAUUCAAAAUAGACUACAAUUCAUAUGUACGCAUGUCUGCUCGUAUGCUUAGGUGUGCAUAUGUAUUUAUGUGUAUGUGUAUAUUGUUAUGUACAUAACAAUACAGCUACAUCCUAAGAUUUCCUGCAUCUAGUAACUGUACUAUGGAAAAUCCCAACAUGCCAAUGGCCUUCAGGACAAACAGCACCUCCUCUUUUAAGAAUAAAGGUAGUUUUAAUUGGCCAUCCAGCAAUUUUAUGGAUUAUUCUGGAUAAACCGGGGAAAUAGGGUCUCAUACUACAAAAAUCCCUACAUGUGGGUGUGUUUGUUUUUGUUUUCUUUUAAAUGGACAUCAAUUGGAACAUGACACAUGCACCAAACAGGGAUGUCAACUUCCUUUAGGAAUCCACAAGUUUAAAAUUCAGAUGCUGAUAGUGAAUCAAGGACACCACAAGGUCAAGGGCACUGACUAAUGUUUCCAGUGAAGAUGCUCUAUUAUAAACUGCCACACCAGCACGCUUUUUUGUUCGUGUUUUAGCAGCUGAACUAAUAUUCUUUCCCCAUUUGAGAACAUUCCUGAAGCAAAAAUUAUCAAAUGACAUAAGUCAGCAUAACAACCACUGCACUUGAAAAAUAUAUAAUUUUAUAUCAGCACAUCCAUCAUAAAUUUUUUUCAAAAAAUUACCCUCCACAUGAUGAAGGGAUCCUGCAGUUAUCCUUGAUUCAUUUUAUGAUGAUAGUUCUGAUAUACAGAACCAAGAACAAAUACAACUGAGCAUGGAAUCUACUGACCUUUCUUCGUCUGAUAAAAAAUUGUCACUCAGAAGUUUCUGGAGCAGUGCAUCCUGAAAUGCAAAGAACAAAAGUUUAAUAGUUUCUAAAUUAAAAAUAAAGAAAACAAAUGCUGAGUUUUUCUUAGUUAACCCAUUUGCGAGUCACAAUAAAUCUAAUGUAGGAAACACAUAAGCUAAAAAUAUUCUUGUUUUAUAUGGCAAUUACAUGGAAAAAAAAACACAAGAAACACAUUCCUUUGACAAGUAUGCUCUAUUCCAAAAUCCUACAAUUCAUUGAUUCUUCCGGAUUCAGAGGGAAGGCAGAAGAUGAGUCUAUAUGUUUGCACACUGAUUCCGACUUCCAUGAAUGUUACAACAAUUCUAAAUCGCCGGAGUCGAGUUCUUCUCAGCCAGGGAGAAUUGAUGAGGACAUCUUUGUCAAACCCAUUAGGGUUUACAAAAGAAAGAGAUGGAAGAGGAAAUCAUUUAAUUUCGUCUUUAAAUCUGGCAAUUUUGUAUUCCUGCAAUUAGUUUCUAACUUGUUCUCAAAGUUUUCCAGAUUUUAGUAGGAUUUUUAGUUUUUCCAGAUUUCAGUAGGAUUUGUAAGUUUCCUAAUUUAUUUGGAUUAGGAUUUCCUUCCUAGAAUAAGUUUAAUUUUCCUUUUCACUCUAGGGUUAGAUUAUUAUAAGUACCCCUUCUAUGUAAUUCAUUAUGGGGGUUGAGAUUUGAGAUAUUAAGAAAAGUUUAUUUUCCAGAGAUUGGAGAAUCCUUGGUGUGAAGCGAAGACAUCUUUUCCAUCUACUUUCUGUUUGUUCCUUUGUUUAUGCUUCCGCUAAACUACGUAAAUCUACAAUUCACCUGUGUCCUACAUCAAAUUUGGUAUCAGAGCCUGGUUUUCGUUUUCUUUGGGUUCAAAUUUUUUGAGUAUUUCUUGUUCUUCAUGCCGUGUGUCGAGUGGUGGCUCCGACUAAGCCUGGAAAGACAGACGAGCCAGAGACAGACUUUGAACGUCUUGUUCAGAUGAUGGAAAACAUAUCAAAGCAAGUGGCAGAUUCGAACACUAGAUCCGAAGACCGAUUCAGACUCAUGGAACGUUGCCUUGCAGACAUAGAAGCAGCUAAUCAACAUGACAAAGCAAGUGUGAAUGGAGAAGAAAGGAAUCAUGAUCGACAACAUCAUUAUAGAAGGAAUGAUCGAGACGGUGAGAGACAUCAUGAUAGGAGGAAUGAUCGAGAUGCAGAGAGACAUCAUGAUAGGAGGUAUAAUCGUGACGACAAAAGACAAAUUUUUUAUUUGUGGCUAUGAGCAAGACCCUGAUGAAAAGGUGAUGAGAUCAGUGACACUUGAUGCUCCUAAUUUUGAUGGUGAGCUAAAUCCUAAAUCAUUCCUCAACUGGUUAGCCACCAUGGAUCGCUAUUUUGAGUGGCAUGACAUGUCUGAAGCUCGAAGGGUGAGAUUUGCUAAGAUAAAUAGGUGGGUCAAGCUGGAUUGUUUUGGACCAAUGUUGAAGUACAGCUAGAGAGAGCUGGUGAAGAACCAAUCAUCCAUUGGGGUGAGAUGAAAGAGAAGGUUGAAGCAGAAAUAUGUACCAUUAUCCUAUCAACAGUGUUUGUUGGACAAGUGGCAAACUCUUCGUCAAGACAACAUGUCAGUUGCGGAAUAUAUUGCAAAAUUUGAGGAAUUCAUGUUGAGAUUUGAGAUAUUAAGAAAAGUUUAUUUUCCAGAGAUUGGAGACUCCUUGGUGUGAAGUGAAGACAUCUUUUCCAUCUACUUCCUGUUUGUUUCUUUGUUUACGCAAACUACCUAAAUCUACAAUUCACCCUUGUCCUACAUCAGGCACCUAGACAGCUAUUGGCAGCUGAAAUAGAAAGGAGUGACACAUUUUAUUAUUUACUGUCUACAAGGACAUCUCUGGGACUGAAUGACUACUGAUGCUGGAUGCAUGUCCUCAAAAUAAUGAAGCAUUUUAUUUUCUUCUUCUUUAAUGUUGAGUGGUGUGGGACGUAAUGAAAAUAAUCUUUAGGUUUAUUAAAAGAUUAAAAGCUAAUGCAGUUCAUUGGAUAGUGAACAUCAUUAAUACGAGGGAGCACAAGAAAACAAAAAUUUCAGAGACACAUAUCAGCAUGGAGGGAACAAAAUCCUUAUAACACCAUGACAUUGCCUAUAUCACACAAACAUUAGCACAGUAUAUCAUACCUGUGCUUCACAACGUACAACUGCCAUCACACGAUCAUUAUAUUCUUCGAUACUCAGGGGAGGAAACAAAAAAUGCCUGCGAACAUACAGCUGCAUAAUAAAUAGUGAUAGUAAGUCAUGUAGGAAGGUUAAACUUCAGAAGUAGAGUAAUUAUGUCAAUCAUAAUACUGAAAAGUAGGCACCAUAAAGGUAUAUGCUUUUCUCUCAUGCUCUCCAAAUGAUCAAAAUAUAGAUUUGCAUUCUGCAUAUGGCAUUAAAUAAUCUUUAGACCUUUUACACUAAAAUGCCCAUACAUGGGUGCAUUGUUGAAUAAUUUCUUUGCAUUUUUCAGAACAGUUUUUUUGCAAUAUGAUCAUGUUGUUUUGAAUUUUUAUGAACCCCUGUUCCUGUGCUAGGGAUCCCUGGACCUGUUGGUGUGCAGUUCUGCUACUUACUAAUCCAUCUUCGUGUCAGAAUACAAAUGCCUCCACCGUAAUGGUGGCGCUUCCAUAUGUGCACACAGAAGCACAUCACUCAUCUUAACGUUAAAGACUAAUUAAUAUAAACUUCAGAACAAAAUAUUAUGCCUCAUUGCUGAUGGUAUCUUUUGGGGAUUUUGGUCCUGUAAUGAUGCACAUGUUCAAUACAAAAUUUACAGUUACAUGCGUCCUGAAUAUUGGUUAUGUGCAGUUGCAUAUAGUAAAACAAAUGGCACAAAACUAACUUGAAACUGAAACACACCUCGUAAAUGCAAUCACCAAUAUAAGCUAAUGAUGCCGCAUUGAGUACAGACCGAGGCUUCUGUACCUUUGGAGGACUAGGCAGACGCUUCUGUACCUUUGAUGGACUAGGCACCCAUCGCUCAUAGCCCAAGUAUAACUCAUCGGUUCGUACUGUUUCCCCUGCAAAAUAAUAUUGCUAAAGACCAUUACCACAAUGCUUCAUACAUGAACAUCGGUAUUAAAGGAAUAAGAGAAAACAUCGUGAAAAAUAACUAAUUAAAAAAAAUUAGGCGGUUAUCUCACAAAAUGAAGGUUUCAAUCUUAUAUUUGUCAAGCUUAUCACCUAAAUUCACGAAAACUAUAUAUACACGGGACUUACAAAAACCUGCAAUUCUUGGUAAAAGCCCAUGAAAUUGUGCUUACUCAGCUAUUUUUCUUAUCCAAGCUGACUUUAAUUCUUUUGAGAAACGAAGACAGCAUAACACAGAAAACUGAGAACCCAAUUUUUAUUAACUUUCCGCAGUUUUCCCAACAACCGAGCAAUCAUUUAGGUAAGCAAAACUCACUUUUUCAUUAAUCAAACCAACAGAAUUCAAGCACUCUCUCAAAUUUUCUCAUUUCCUUUUCAAUUUUAUCAGUAUUGAAAUGAGCAGCUCAAACUAAACAUUUAAGGACCCAGCAGAAACAGAAAAAUCUUAACUGAGAAAUGUUUUCAUUUCCCAUAAUCAUAAACAACAAAACCCACAACAAUUCUAGUACUCUAACGUUUUAUCAUAUUAUCCUCAACUUUCUCAGCAACCCAGAAGCACAAAACCCAAAAAUUGGCAUAGUCAAACAAACCCAGAAGAGAACGAGCACGCAGAAAGAAUUGGUGAAUGGAAUACCUUGAGCUGGGCGUUUGAGAAGGUCAAAAACGGAGGUAGUUGUGGCAGUUAGGGUGACAGUUGGAGGGGUUUUGGUGGUGCCGGUAGCAGUGCUGGGGUUUUCGGGUUUGGGUAUCUUUCUCGGGGUGUUGCGGUUGUAUGAGAGUCUUUGUUGUGUAUCCAAUGAAGCUCUCACUGUCACUACUCUCACACCCAUCGCUGAAGAAGAAGCCAUUGAUAGAGUUUGCAUACUUCCUCUCUUGCUUGCUCGAGUGGGAGAAGCUCCAAAAUCCAAAUGAACCGGAUUUCUUUGUACUUUUUAUAUUUUAUUUUAAACUAUUUUAUUUUUUAAAAUAGUAUAGCCGAGCGGCGACACUCCUUUUUAAAAAAAAAAUAGUAUAGCCGCGCGGCUAGAUCCGGUUUUUUAUUUUUUAAAAGUAUAGCCGCGCGGCUAUACUAAUUUUGACACGUGGACGCCUAUGGCUAGGCUGGUUUUUUAAAAAAAUAGUAUAGCCGCGCGGCUAUACUUGGUUUUUCAAAGCGAGUAUCAUAUUGGGCCGGGUCCAUAGUUUCUACUGCAACAGCGACAUGUCGUACCAGUACCAGAAACUAAUGCCACAUUUGGCGGUUGUGCUUACACUUGUCUUAUCCUUAGUGGCUCAUCUAGCCACUGAGAAACACAUCCCCGCAGCUUAGCAUACAACGAGCUGCAGAGAAUCAGAGAAGAAGGGACCAGAGAGAGCUUUGGCCUUUUUGGUGCUCGCUAGCUGUUUCCUUGUUCGAAAAGCUGCUCCUAAAACCCUCAAAAAUUCCCUGUGAUAAUCUCACCCAGCGGGUGACACACAGCAGCAGCAACACAUCGUCAUGAGCCGCUAUGACAGCCGCUCCGGCGACCCCACUUCGUACCGUGACCGGAAAAGGUAAACCCUCUUUGAUUCUCUCAUAUAUGUAUGUAUACGCGUAUAUCUAUGAAUGCUUAUAGUUAUAGGUCACUUUGCACAAUGUGUAUAUGUAUUUGAUUGGUAAUUUUCUUUUGUUUAAGUUUGCCCAAGUGAUAAUUAUAUAUGGUUUGUGGAUUACUCUCUCUGUCUAUUUCAUUUGCCUGAAUUUAUUGUUUUUCUCAGUUACCCUUUGUUACAAGUUUACCAUAUUUACAUUUGCUAAUGCUACAUGGUUGUGUUUCUUCGGUGUCCCCAAGACAAAACUUAAUUUGUUUCUGAGUUUCAUUUACAUUUACUGGGUUUUCUCAAAUUUGUGUAAAUUCUGCGGUGUUUUAGUGAUUCGGGGUUUGGUGUGACCGGCUACGGUGGCUCAGCACGGUCUUCGUCAAGCAAGAAGGAUUGUGAUGGUGCUGAGUCACCGAGGAAAUUUGAUUUGGAUGGAUUGACACCUUUCGAGAAGAAUUUCUAUGUUGAGUCACCUGAAGUGGAAAGAAUGUCGGAGAAGGAGGUUGAGGACUAUAGGCAACGGAGGGAAAUUACUAUUGAAGGCCGUGAUGUUCCAAAGCCGAUCAAGAGUUUCCGUGACACUGGGUUUCCAGGUAUAUUUUCGUAUUUUCUUAUAGAAACAUGUAUUUUUAUCUUUUGAGGUUUCACAUUGAUUCAUUCUGAAUAUAUGCUAUAGAAAACAUAUAAUAUUUAGUCUAUCCUGAAAAUCUUUAUAAUUCACCAAAACAAAACAAAAAAAAAAAAAGAUAACUUUGUUGGAGAAUUUUGAUGGAGAGCAGUGGUGCUAUACUUUCCAAUUAUCAGUAGUUUAGGUCCAGCUAUGCCUGUGCUACAUUAUUCUUUUGCCUAACACUGCAACGAAUGAGAUGACCUAUAUGAUAUGUUCAGAUUCGUUGUUGGAAAUUAGUUGUCAUACACUGUAACGAACGAGAUGACCUAUAUGAUAUGUUCAGAUUCGUUGUUUUCUUUCUUAAAGUCUACUUACUGGAAUGGUUCCUCUUGGGCCACAGAAUACGUUUUGGAAGAAGUUACAAAGGCUGGAUUUGUUGAACCUACACCAAUUCAAGCUCAAGGAUGGCCAAUGGCUUUGAAGGGUCGUGAUCUCAUUGGUAUUGCUGAAACAGGAUCUGGGAAGACGCUAGCCUACCUGUUGCCUGCAAUUGUCCAUGUCAAUGCCCAGCCAAUUCUAUGUAUGGAAUCGUUAAGACAAUUAAGUUCUUGAAUCUUCAUUGAUUUAUUCUUUUACAUUUUAAAUAUGACUUGGUAUUGGUCAGGCAUAAGUUUUUAAUUUUAUAAUAUUUGUUUAGCUCCUGGAGAUGGCCCAAUAGUAUUAGUUUUAGCUCCAACCCGUGAGCUCGCUGUUCAAAUCCAACAAGAGGCUACUAAAUUUGGCUCGUCUUCAAAAAUUAAAAGCACAUGCAUAUAUGGCGGGGUUCCAAAGGGACCUCAAGUUCGUGAUCUGCAGAGGGGUAUGUGGCGAACUUAGUUUUACAUGGUAUUGCUGUUGUCCUACUGUACCUUUUAUGUAUCAUAGAUUAUGUACUUGAUAUCCUGUUAUGGGCAUUGAUAUCAUGGCUAAGAUGACUUAUCACUCCAUUUAGAUGUAGGUGGUGAAUAAAACAGCAUUUCUUGUUUCAGUAAUUUCUUAUUCUUCCUGUUGAUGUCAUUCCUAUUUCUGGAUCAGGAGUUGAGAUUGUAAUUGCUACACCUGGGAGGUUGAUUGAUAUGAUAGAGUCGCAUCAUACCAACUUGCGAAGGGUCACAUACCUUGUGUUGGAUGAGGCCGAUCGGAUGCUAGACAUGGGGUUUGACCCACAGAUACGGAAAAUUGUUUCUCAGGUUUGAGAUUUUACAUUUCUGUGUUAAAGUGACUUAGAAUAUAUACCAGUUUUAUAUGUGUACUACGAAGAUUUAUUACUUAUUUUUGGCUCCCCUUUCCAAAGCCUUUCUUUAUUUAUUUAUAAAAUAUUGUGUAGUUUUUGAUACCCACUAAUGUUAAUUUGGACUUCUGAUUUCUUUAAAAGCUGGAAAAAGAUUAGUGAAUCUUCAACUUGGCUCAGAAAAACUCUUGGGCAGUUAUAAUUCCAAAGUUAUUACUCUUGGUUUGAUUUCUUAGAAAAUAGAUUCUAAACUUUGUAACCCAGGUAAGGCUUGUUUAGAUAAAACAUGUACUACCAGUUUGGAGCUCUAAGUACCUUGAGACAGUUGUGGGUUAUUCGAAAGUUAUCCUUACUAGAGAUAGUGUAAGGAUAGGGUAUUCUUACCAAACAUCUGUAAACAGGCCGCAAAGUUUUAGAAUGUGAACGAUAAUGUGGGGUCAGUGUCUUGGUGAAAAGAUAUGGUGUGUGAAGAUAUGUGCUUUUGUGUGGUGGCAAUGGGACGCAUGUCUGUUUUGGCGUUUUCUCUACCCCAAUCGUUAUUUUUGGUAGCCAUGGUUGCAAAGAUACAGUUUCUUUUAUAAUUAUCCUGUCUUUAGUUUCUUUUUCCCAAGAACUUAGGUAAUAUGUACGUGCUCAACAAUUUGUGUUUUCUAUACAUUUCUAACUAAAUAAAUGCCAUCGAAAAACAUUGUGCCUCAAAUGAGAAUGAUGGUGAUGAUUAUUGAUGUCAUCUUAAUCAUGAGGUUUUGUUUUUAUAAACCAUGUUGAGAACUUUCUGGUGAAUACAAUUCCAAGCAGCACAUGCAGUAUCUGUGGUUUGUUUGUUAUAAAAUAGUCAGGACUUUGUGUUUCUAACUUUCUUGAGCUAUUGAGCAUCACAAAACAAGAUUAAGUGUGCAUGCUUAUGUUCCUGUAUGGUCACUGGUGUCAUCAAGAAGUUUUUGUAUCUAUGAGGUUAGAUUCAUAUUUACUUUUAAUAUUUUGAUUGCUUUUUCUCGGCUAAACCAAUAUGCAAGUCCUUGAGAAGAGACUUGGACCAUUUGCACUUUGCUCUUGUUCAAUAAUGAGUUUGAUAUCUUGAUGUAAGUACACAUAAGUGAAGUCAAACUAGGUAGGUCAAAUCACCCUGCAUAAAGCUGCAUCCUUAAUCAUCUCUAGAAAUGAGCAAAUAUGAAUUUUUCCUGCAUCUCUCUCUCUCUCUCUCUCUCUCUCUCUCUCUCUCUCUCUCUCUCGCAUAGUUUACGUUUAGUUUAAAUUUUCCAUUGUUCUCUAAUGUUUCAUUUAAUGCAGAUUCGCCCAGACCGUCAAACAUUAUACUGGAGUGCUACCUGGCCAAAGGAGGUUGAACAACUGGCGAGGCAGUUCCUUUACAACCCAUACAAAGUACUCUAUCUUGCUUUUAGUAUAGAAGUGCUCUUCAUCUACUAGGACACAAUCUUCAACUUUUUGCGUCACUUUGUCAUCUUCAAUUAUUGUUACUGCAUGAAAUUGGUAGUUUUAAAUACCCUCUUUUCUUUCUAUCAUGUGAUUGUAAUAGUUCUGUUGGAUGUAUGUUCUUAUGCAUAAUACUAAUAUGCCAAUGAUUAAUUUACAUCCUUUUGGAUGUUGAACAGGUGAUAAUAGGUUCUCCAGAUUUGAAAGCUAACCAUGCGAUCCGCCAAAUUGUUGACAUCAUUACAGAAAAUCAGAAAUAUAACAAGUAGGGUGCAGUCUAUGUUGUUAUGGUUUCUAACUUUCAUAUGGUUAGUCUUGAGCUAUUUUCUGCAGGUUAUAUAUCUGAUUUCUUUCAAUUUAACAGACUGGUAAAGUUGCUUGAGGACAUCAUGGAUGGCAGCAGAAUACUGAUAUUCAUGGAUACUAAGAAAGGAUGUGAUCAGAUCACUCGGCAGCUCCGCAUGGAUGGUUGGCCUGCUCUCUCAAUUCAUGGAGACAAAAGUCAAGCAGAAAGGGAUUGGGUCCUCUCUGAGUUUAAAGCCGGCAAGAGCCCCAUAAUGACCGCAACAGAUGUUGCUGCUCGUGGUCUAGGUAUGGAAAUAAUUUCUUUUAAGUUUAAAGCCGGCAAGAGUCCUUUCUGUUCUCAUUGAUCUGACCUAUGAGGAUGGUAUCAACAUGAUUGUACUGAAACAAAUAUUUAUUACACGUUAGUUUGUUUAAAACUAUUACCAUCCACAUUUGGCUGGAUGGUAGGUUUCCAUAUGAAACCUAUCCUUCCUCCUCUUAGGUUUUGGUGGUAAUCAUCUCUGCCCAUGAAUAAUUGUUUCCCUUUGAGCCAGGUAAGGUUUUGGCGUGCAUCGGAUUUGCCUUUGGGCUUUGGUAGGCAAAAACUGCUAACAUUGGGGUGCAUAGGUGUGUUAACCUAGCAGAAUUUCUUGAAUGUACUUAACCCAUGAAUUGGUCUUCGACCUCGUUUCUAAUCCCUUUGUGUCGUGCUUGAUUUGGUUGCAGAUGUGAAGGAUGUGAAAUUUGUUAUUAACUAUGAUUUUCCUGGAUCCCUUGAGGAUUAUGUUCACCGCAUUGGCCGAACUGGAAGAGCUGGGGCAAAAGGAACAGCAUACACGUUUUUCACAGCUGCUAAUGCUAGGUUCGCAAAGGAACUUAUUGCCUUGCUCGAGGAAGCUGGACAGAAGGUCAGUCCUGAAUUGGCAGCAAUGGGCCGCGGUGCACCUCCUCCCCCUUCAGGUCAGUUAGUCUGGACGCUAGAGAAAAUCUUUGUGGACACGUAUGCACAUGCAUUUGGGUGCAUAAGAACUGUGGGUCAAUGGUAUAGAAAUAGAAUGGGGGAUGCCUCUUUUCAUGCUUAGGUUACCCUGUCUUACCUUCUCCCUGUGUAUUGGAUGUCAGUGUCUAGAUAGGGUAUUGGUGAUAAAUAAAGCACAAAUAUAUGGCGCUUCUACAAGGAAAAAAAGAAGGAAAGAAAGAAAACAUUUUCCAGUAUUUUUUAGGUAGCAUGAACUAUGUUUUCUUUAAUCUGUUUACUACAGUUUGUGAUGAAAUUUUAAUUUUGGAAUGAUGGAUGCAUGUCUAUUUUCCUUUGAUGAGAGGUUAAUUAAAGACUCCUAAAAUUGUUUUGUGUUGUCACUUGUAAUUGAUCAGGUCAUGGCGGUUUUCGAGAUCGCGGUCGGGGUUACGGUGGAGGUCGUCCUUGGAACUAAUUCGUGAUGAUCUUGGAUAUGGCAAUGACAUUGUAUUCUGUUCAGAAAACAGGAAAAACUUGUAUGAAUACUGACUGACUAGGAUGUAGGAGAACAAAUAUCUUAUGUUCAUUAUUAAAAAAAAAAAAGAAAAAAAGAAUUUUAGAGUUUGUUCGUGACGGUUCUGGUUUUGUUUUUAUCGUCGACGUAUACAUAAAGCCUUAGAGAUAAAACAUUCAAAAUCUCACAAAUUAUUAUGGGGUACAUGAAAAUACCAAAAAAGAAGACACUUUAUUAUUAUUAUUUUUAGAAUCUUUUCUAUUGAGAGGGGUGAAAAUUUACUAAAGUCAAACACACUACACGGAUACUAGGACUUGAAUCCAGUAUCUUUUAUGGGGGAGUAAUAGCUUCAAAUUACUAAAUUAGUGGUCAUUUGCAAUGCGUUAAGUAAGAAUAAAAUAGUGCAUUUACUAUCUGUUUAAAUUGAAAUAAAUAAAUCAAUGGUGUGUUUGUACUUGAAGUCCUAUGUUCGACUCCUUCUUCCCUCUUUCCCUAAUAUUGCUUGUAUUUAAAAAAUAUACAUAAAAAAACCUAUAAGUUCUUUCAUGUAUUUUUCUUAAAAAAAAAUUAUAAAACCCAAUCUUCUAAAAAUAAAAAGAACAAAAAAAGUUCAAUGGGCAUUCGCCAGACGAGACGAGAGUGAGAGGCUUGGGCCCAGGUUAAAAGGCUCAUGUGGGCUUAAAUUUCAAGUUGGGUUUGAGCUUGGACUAGAACUGAACCCCUUCAUCAGCCUGGUCUGGCCCGGCCCGUUAACCCCGAGUUCAAUGGUGGAAUGGAAACUACAGAGUACACGCAACCAUACCGUAGUAGGCUGCUGUAUGGUCUAACAAGAAAGACUUUCGAGUGACGAAAGGAAAUCAAGGCUUCCUGCAACAAUGAGCGAAGAUCCCAAGCUCUACACCAACAAACCCAGGAAAGGUAAAAAAACCCAAGUUCCAUGCGAAUCAUUUUUGCUUUUUAAAAUCAGAAACAGCUAUUUCUCAACCACAUGAAGAAUCUUUUUUUGCUUUCAAUAAUUGGGGUUUUGGUAUUUUAAUCGCUUUCGUCUUGUGUUUUCAAAAACAGCACAGCUGAAACAGUUUCAAGAUCAACAUAGAGGAAAAGACUUUUCUUCACCACCACCAUCAUCGACAAUGGCGACUCAAUCUCCAUCUCCGCCACCUCAGCCCCCGAAGGAGUCAUUUGCUCGGCGUUACAAGUUUCUUUGGCCUCUGCUCUUGACUGUCAAUCUGGGCGUUGGAGGUCUUUCUUCCAUUUCUCUUGUUAUUAAGUUGUGUGAAUAAUUUGUUUUGGUUUUUCUACCAGCCUUUUGCAGUGAUGUGUGUGCAUAUAUGUGUAUAAAGUGAAAGAAAGUGAGAAAGCUGAAAUGGGUUUUGAGAUCAUUGCUUGGAAACUCAUUUUAAUGCUUCUUAUUGCUUUUCUUUAUGGCGGCGUUUUUAGAUAGUUGCCAAUUAAGUGCUAAUUCAGUUUGAUUUUAUUUGUUUGGUCAUAAUCCAAAUGCAAAAGAAAACGUUCUGAGUUAGUUUAUGAGUUCUUGAACACCUGUUUUAAGUUGGUCAUAAUCUAAAAGUCAUAUGAUUUUUGUCACGAAGAGUAGUGAUUUGUUAUAGCUUAACAUAAAGGGGAAUGAAAGUUCAAAAGGCUUUUCAAAAGUAGUUUGGAUUUGUGAAUCUGGCUGUGUGUGAUGUGGGUAAACAAUUAUAAUUCUCAAAACAUGUUUGGGAGUGUCCAUUUUACAUUGGUGAUUGCUAAUUACAAUCGAAAGUGAGUUGUUAUUCUGCUAAUCAUAUCCAGUUGAUUAAAUAGAUGGAUUUUUGUUUUCCAAGCAUCCUACUCCCUGUAACAUUAUAUAGUGAUAAGGUGGAGGAUGCUAGGCUGGACAGGCUAUUUUUUGAUCUGUUCCCCUACAAAACAGAAGAAAAAUCAUAAAACAAAAACUAUCAACCUUCAAGAGAGGAUCUCUGCAUUUGUUAGAAGCUGCUUGUGAAUUGUAUCUAAUGCAACUUGUCUCAGCAUAAACUUAAAAUAACUUAUGUGACUUUUAACCAACUUUUUCUUGAACUUUUCCUUCACAUGUUUUACUACAUGACAAGAUGUAGUGAGUAAGGGCAGUUUGUGGUUUACCUAGCAUAAGCUCCUAGAAAUUACUUGUUGAUGUCAUGGUUAUUAUGUUAAACUCUCCACAGUUCCAUUCUGUAUGAUUUUGUUAAUGCUCAAAAGGGACUGUGCAUGCUGGUGAAGGGCCAAGGUAGCAAUUUGAGAAAAUAAAUGGUUGCCGUGUGGAGACAACACAGCGUGAAGGAUGUUACUAUGGCUGCAGUAGUAGUUGAACUUCAUUAGUUGACUACAAAAACAUGGUCGAUACUUGAUACUUUGUAAUAAGCUACCUGCACUCACUUUGGAGGGAAAGACAAAUUCACCAUUAUAUUAGUGAUGUUGAACUUAAUGGCCAUUGUGUAACUAAGGAUGCUGACGAGUAAAGUACAAGUGAGCAGAAAGUUUCCAUUUAGCCUAGGUGGCACUUCUUUUGUUUUAGAAAGAACUAGUUCAACAUAAAGACGUUAUUAGUGAGGAACAUUAUAAUAGACUGGAUGAAACCAUCUCUGUUAACUUGACCAGCAUAGAAUGUCUUCUUAUUACGUUGUAAUCUCUGUGAACUUGAACAGGCUACUUAUGCUUUCUCUGCUUCUGUUUGCGACUGAUUAGGGAUGAUUUUUCUUGUAAUUUAAAAAAAAAAUCUAAAUAUGGCUUUCUUAAUAGUCUGCUAAAUGGGCUCAUAGAUGUUAACACUUGUGGGUAUGGACAUAGGAUGUGUACCUGGCAUAGUUGUUAAUGGACAUGUUCCAAACAAGCAUUUUAGGAUUGGUAGAGAGGAAGAUACCUCACUAAUCAUAUAAUUGUUGCAGUACCUUAUUUGCUUCUUUGUUGGAUGAUUAUAUUAAUGAGUGAAUCACCUCUAUUUUGAAUUAUUUGAGUCUUGAUGUAGUUUUUAUGGAUUUUAAUUUACUUGUAGUUGGACACUGAGGUUUACACUUACUUUUGUAGCUUACCUGUUCAUGCGGACGAAAAAGAAAGACACAGAUGUAGAGGAAGAAGUAACUACUACAGUUUCGACAACAACUCAAACAACUCCUACUACUACUGAGAAACCCUUGCCCCUGCCAACCAUCACAGAGCCUGUGAAAUUGCGAGAACCAAUCCCAGAGGAUCAACAGCGCGAACUUUUCAAGUGGAUACUGGAAGAAAAAAGAAAGGUUAAGCCAAAAGACCCCGAGGAGAAGAAGCGCAUUGAUGAGGAGAAAGCCAUUCUUAAACAGUUUAUCCGGGCAAAAUCCCUUCCAAGAAUCUAACUCUAGUGACAGGAAAAAGCCAUUUCUCCUCAUUCUAUUGAUAUCCUGUAUUUCCAUUUGAUUGUCUCGAUCUCUAUAGUGGAUCGUGUCUGCACAAAGUUAGUCAUCAUUGUCAAUUGAAGGAAGUUCCGAAAUUCAUCGUUGGUUCAUAUCAUACAAGAAUAUUGUUCAUUUUGAAUCAGUGAAUAUGUGGUGCGUUGGACCUGGAAUGAGUAUGUUGGUCUUGUCAAUUUUUUAUACACAUCAGUGUGCUAUCUGCUGCUUACUAGCAUUUCCACUGGAACAAAAGAUAAUUAAUUUUCAUUUGGUGUCCACGUGCAAGAAUUGGAUGUUCUUCACCUAUUUAUUUUAUUUUAGAUGCGGCGAUAGUGACAAAUGGGAAAAUCGAACACAAGACCAUGAUGUAAAUAUUCUUAAUCACCUGAGUUAUAAGUACCAUGUCAUAUAUUAAUCACUUGAGCGUAACCUCUUGCCGUAUAUAUUCUUUGACUAUCUCCUAACGAAAGCAUAUGCACACUUUCCAAAAAGGACAUGGACACCGUAAAUAUGCGUGUUGAGAGAGUUCCCACAUGAUGCACAAAGACAUAAGACUAUUGCACAGUAUAUAAUAUAUGCUCCAAAGAUCCCUAAACCCCAUGGAUAAACAAAUAUAUCCAACAUAUUCUCUUGGAUUCUGAAAGAUAUAGUGGGAAAUUAACAAAUGGAGCCGAUUAAGAGCCGAACAAUUUGAUCAAAUGAUGAUAUGUGGCUAAAGUACUUAGCUUACCUAUAAAAUGAUGAUAGGUGAUUAAAAUAUCAGAUAAAUAAGAUAAUCAUAAGUUAGGUAGUUUGAACAAGGAAAUAAAGCAAGUCUGCAUAAAGAACUUGGAUAUCAUUAGGAAACAGUCCAAGUGAGAUUUUGAAAAAGCUAAAGCCUAAAAGGAUGCUGAUACAGAAUAAUGCUCUUUCUCUCAGCUCCAAAUUCUAAACCUAAAGAAGAAAGUUAACAAUUUGUGAACUUUUCCGCACGCAGUUGGGAAACAAGUUAGAAAAGAAAAGAAAGAAAAACUCCCGCCCAAAAAAUUCUUUGUGGGAAGAGAUGAUUGAAUUUGUGUUCUCCUCCAGCCUAUAGGUGGUAGGGGUCGAGUUAUCGAUGUGAGAUGGAUCCAGAAAAAGUAUUCAAACCUUGGGACCUCAAAUAAAGAGCUAAGUCCAUCUCCAGUUAUGGGCUAUAUCCCAAAUAUAGUCCUAAAUUAAUAUAAAAUCCAUCUCUAGCCAUAGGCUAAAUAAAAUUUUGGUCAAAUUUGGAGGGCCACCGGGCCAAAUGUAGCCCAGCUUUGGUCUAGGCUAAAUUUAUGUACUUUUCAACAACCAAUCAUUAAAGCACUCCUCACUCUUCUUUUUGAAAAUAAUAAAAUAUGAAUGACCCUAAAAUAUAGCCAUGCAUAGUUGAAGAUGGAAAAAUUUAGCCAUGCACUAUUCUAUAAAAAAUUAAUAUUUUGGGGAGCUAAAUUUUUAGCCCUAAACUACAUUUAACCCUAUGAUUGGGAUGGCCUAAACCAAGAACUAAGGUUUACUCAUUACAAGAAAAAGACAACAUUGCCCAUAUUGGUAGGGGCCUCGGCUUCAAAGACAUGUGUCGUUGAUGAAGCCCUCCACCAAGUGCCCCUUGAAUAUCUUUCAUGAAGAGGGAUUUAUAUAAAGGUGAGUAUUUUUGGUGAAGAGAGGGGAAAAGUACAUGUGGCCUCAAGCCCUCCACCAUCUGAAACGAGAAAGGAUGGGAAUGAAUGUGACAUGAGAGGUUGGCCUAGCUUAUAGUUCUGGAGGAGAGAGAGAGAGAGAGAGAGAGAGAGAGAGAGAGAGAGAGAGAGAGAGAGAGAGAGACAGAAGGACAAAAGGGCAGGGGAUGAUGAUGGAGUAUGGUUGGACUUAAUUAAGUCUCACAUGAACGCACGAGGCCACCCAGCUGAGCCUCUGCCAAUGGGGGGCCUUCUCAAUCCGCAAGAUGAUCAAUCAUGAGCCUGUGGGGGCUUCUCCCAAUUUAUAUAUCUGUAUAUUUAACAAACUUAUCAUAUUGCUCAUGAAAGAAUUUGAAGUUCUUUCUGCUACUUAUCAUCAAAAAGAAAAAAAAAAGGGAAAGCAGAAGAGAAAGUUCUUUUGUACUGAAAUCCAUCAUAACUUGGUAAGAACACAUGUAGUAUAUAUUAUAUACAUGUGCAGUAUCAUUCACAGCCUAACUUUUAGUUUAAUGAUAUUAGCUUAAUAGUGCUUCUCUUCCGAAUAUUAAAAGAUGUUGAAGGUUCGAAUUUCAUCACUAAUUUUUUUUUUUUAAAGCAAAAAUUUAAUAUUGCCUCAUGAAUUAGUUGUAGGUAUGGAGAUUCUACUACCAAAGCUAUAAAUGUCUGCUAGGUUUUGAACUGUUAAAAUAAAUAUAAAAUCAAUACUUGUUAGCUAUACUGUUGAGCUCAUUAGUCAAGCCAACUUAUAAAGUUGGCUUGUCAAAGAGUUUUACACUAGGUAAGUAAGUUUUGAUUUCUCGGUCACCAUCAUGAAUGAAAAUUCAUGACGGUUGGUGAUCACUAAUUUUUAUGAUUAAAUGGCGACCAAGAGAUAAAAAUCCGAAAACCAUCUUCCGCUCGGCAAUAACUUUAAGUGGGAAGCUAAAUUUUUUACUUUAUACCCUAUAUAAGCUGCCAAAACAAAUCUAUCUAUAGCUUAGAUUAUGCAUCUCCCGAUACAAUUAUUCUUUGGUUAAACAUUCUCUCUCUCUCUCUCUCUCUCCCCCCACACGCGUGCAUUGUGUACAUGCACAUUCAUUCUUCAGUCACCAAAAUCUCCUCAUUGGAACCAUGAUUAAGAAUAAUAUUAUUUAAGGGGGUGCAGACUGCAAAGCUAAAGCUAAGCUUAUAUAUAGAGAGAGCGCUACAUACAUUCGUGUGGGGAAAUUUCCAAAAUGGACAAUUUGCUGAUUGUACUAAUAUUGGCAGCAACAACAACAACAACAGCAAUUUUGAUAUUGUCCAUUAUAUUUCUCUACAGAAACAACAGCAACUUGAUCCUGAGAUCAAAACACAGAAGAAGGCCACUUCCUUUAGGCACUCUUGGAUGGCCAUUUCUUGGUGAAACCAUUGAGUUUGUGUCUUGUGCUUACUCUGACUGCCCUGAGAGCUUCAUGGACAAACGCCGCCACUUGUAAGUACAUUAACACACAUAAAGUUAAUUAGUAAAAGCAGCAACUUAUUAACAUGUAUAAUACAACAUGUAUUACUUUCAUCUAAACCAGAGAGCAGAGCACACUAUAUAACUCCGUUUUUGCAUGAGUGAUUUCCAUGUAUUAACUUGUGAUUAAGAUUGAAUGAAUCAAAAUGCUUUGUUGGGUUUGUGUGUUGUACAUCAAACAGCAAACCCAAUAAGCAUUCUUCAGUUUUAAUGAUUCAGCUUCAUGUUUCUGCUGAUUUACUUCAUUCAGCUCCAAUGGUUUGGUAGCUGAAAACUUGAAACUCCCAUGUAUAUUUGAUGAUGAUGAAGAUAGAGGCAUGUUUGUGAGAAUUAUGAUUUGGGUUGUUUUUGUAGGUAUGGGAAGGUGUUCAAGUCACACAUAUUUGGAAGUCCAACAAUUGUAUCAACAGAUGCAGAAGUGAGUAAGUUUGUGCUGCAAAGUGAUGCAAAGGCUUUUGUACCAUCUUACCCAAAAUCUCUCACUGAGUUGAUGGGAAAGUCCUCUAUAUUGCUUAUCAAUGGAGCCUUGCAGAGAAGAGUCCAUGGGCUCAUAGGAGCCUUCUUUAAGUCUCCACAUCUCAAAGCUCAAAUCACCACAGACAUGCAGAAGUAUGUCCAACAAUCAAUGGCAAAUUGGAGAGAUGAUCGUUCCAUUUACAUACAAGAUGAAACCAAAAAUGUUAGCUCUCUCUCUCUCUCUCUCUCUCUCUCUCUUCUUCCCAGGUCUAGGGGAGAGAAUUUUAUCUAUGAAGUUUGAGAUCAUAUCUAAGUUUAAGAUGACUUUUUGAGAAGAGUUCCAAUAGACAGAAGACCAAAACCAAAGAUGCCCUCUCUCUUAGAUCUAUCUCUGGCUUCUUCCCUUCUAUUUAAAACUGUUUUACAAUAAAGUAAGCGCUCCAUUAAGCACUUGGUUAAAGAUAAACGAGUCUCUCUCUUGUGAUCAAAGGAAUGAUUGAUGUUUGAAUUUAAUCUCUGGCUCCUACUUAGGUUAGAAGAAUAUAACUUGCUAGAAAGAAAACAAACCAGUUGUGAAUGGGGUUCAUAAUAAUUCUGCUUCAAUCAUAUUGUCUGCAGAAUUAGAUUCAUAAUUAUUAUGUUUUACAGUCCUUUUUAAAAAAAGUUACUAAGACAUGUCCUUUUUGUCUCCAGAUUGCAUUCCAAGUACUUGUCAAGGCAUUGAUUAGUUUGGAUCCUGGUGCAGACAUGGAGUUCCUAAAGAAACAGUUCCAAGAAUUCAUUGCUGGCCUCAUGUCUCUACCCAUAAACAUUCCUGGAAGCAGACUUUACAGAUCAUUACAGGCAAGUUAACCAGCAACUAAUAAUUUAACUGUUUUAACUUUACAAGGGAAAUGUUUCCUUUCUAAAUUGACUCUACGAGAUAAGAUGCUUAUAUUGUUAUACCAUGAAUCUGAACCAUAGAUUAAGUUGGUUCUCGUCUGAUUAUGUGGUUUGGAUUGACAUUUUGACAACGUACACAACUUACUGUACUUUAUUAUAAUACUGUUGUAAUGAUAGUUUGAAUCCUAUUUAAUUUCAGGCAAAGAAGAAAAUGAUCAAGCUUGUACAGAAAAUUAUACAAGCUAGAAAAAAAGGGACUAGUAGCAUCUCCAACAAGGUUGCCAGAGAUGUGGUAGAUGUUUUGCUAAGUGACACAAGUGGGCAAUUGACAGAUGACCUGAUAGCAGAUAACAUGAUUGAUAUGAUGAUACCAGGGGAGGAUUCGGUCCCAGUUCUUAUGACUCUUGCAAUCAAAUACCUCUCAGAUUCCCCCACUGCUCUUCAACAGUUAACAGUAUGUGCACAAAUUUAUUUAUUUUGGUAAAUAACAGAAAAAGAAAAAGAAAUUGGUACUUAAUUACUAUAACUUAUUUUGGUUGAUUAGCCGCAUGGAUACUAUUAAUUAAACAAUCCCACUUCAUUUUUUCUCUCUAGACUUUGAACUUUUUGGAACUUUGUGGCAUUUAAGUCCAACCAUUUGACUACUUUAUCUGUGCCAUUUUCAUUUUGCUUGUCGUUUUAGUGAGACUAAUCUUUCACUUGUGGCUGUCAUAUUAAUACGGUUUCUAGGUGCAAGUGGGAUUGGGUUCCACAAUAAGCACAUAUUACAAGAACAGUAGAGAUAUAUUUAGUUUUUUAUUUAUGCUUUAGUCUUCUACUGCAUAAAAACUUACUUGUAACGGAGAUAGCACUAUUUUACUAUCCCCAACUAACAACACAAUGAAACAUGAAAAAUUUAUCUCGCGUGUCAUUACGUUGGUGAUCAAUAUUGGAUGUGUUGGUUUCUUAAUGCCUAUGGCUUUUCUAAUAUUUGAACUCUUGAUGAUGAACUGAUCAGGAGGAGAACAUGAAGUUAAAAACACUCAAGGAUCAGCUUGGAGAGCCUUUAUGUUGGAGUGAUUACUUAUCCUUACCAUUUACACAAAAUGUAAGUGAAUACAACAUUAAUUAACUAUAAAUGCAGGGCUUAAUUAGAACCAGAAAUAAACAAUUAAUACUCAUAAGAAUCUAUGUAUGUUCUUUAUACUUUUUUGAUUUAAACAGGUGAUCACAGAAACUCUAAGGAUGGGAAACAUCAUCAUUGGGGUGAUGAGGAAGGCCAUGAAAGAUGUUGAGAUAAAAGGGUAUCUAAUACCAAAGGGCUGGUGUGUCUUCACAUAUUUUAGAUCAGUUCACCUGGAUGAGAACAAUUAUGAUUGGCCUUAUGACUUCAAUCCAUGGAGGUGGCAAGUAAGAAUGAUCAUAUAUAUAUAUAUAUAUAUAUAUAUAUAUAUAUAUAUGAUCUUAAUUGGUUUCUUUUAAGGUUUUUUUUUUUUUUUUUUCUCUUUAGUUUUUAAGUAAUGGAUUGGAGGUAUACUCUGCAGGACAAAGACAUGAGCAGCUCUAACUUCACUCCUUUUGGAGGUGGACAAAGGCUGUGUCCUGGGCUUGACUUAGCUAGGCUGGAAGCCUCCAUCUUUUUACACCACUUUGUCACUCAAUUCAGGUAAAUAGACAUGAAUAUUUUGAUCUCCCUCAGGCCAUAAUUUAACAAAAAAAAAAAAAAACAACGGAUACUUAGUUUAGAGUACUGCACACAGGUCCUUCACAAAUAGUGUCCCAUAAAUUGCAAAACCAAAAAAGUUAUAUAUCAAACUUAGGGGAAGACAAAAGGAUAUGGAUGCAGAUACAAGCCUUCAUGGUAGUUCCAUUUUCAUGAUAAGCAUUAAUGAAACUUUUUCUCUGUCUCUCUGGUUUUGUUCUUUUUUUGUUUGGCAAAGCCAAUUAAAGAAGAAUGUUGUUCUGCUCCUUUAUUGCUGUUGACUUGCAUGUAUAUAACUUUAUGGGAUUUCAUCAACCAGCAAACAUUUAUGCUUUUUAGGAGCAAUUGAACAAAGUCCCUUUUAAAAGUUGUUCUGCAUUUAUUCCUCAUUUUUUUGCCAUAUGAGCAAAGACAGCAAUAUAGCACACAUACUUUCUGGCAUUUUCACUGAUCAGUAGCUUUUACAAGACAUGCACCUUUUUUCGUACUUACUUCCAACCAUGCUCUGUUACUAUUGCUAAUUGCUAUGUCGACGUUCGCACGUUAUUAUCGUGCGAACGAUAUUGUAAAUAAGAGAAAAAGCAGGAAGAGGUAGUAAAAAAUACGUGGCAUAUACACAUGAGAAAAAUAUAUGAUCCGUGACUCGAGAUUCUUCCAAGCCUGCUUUGCUAUCAGCCAAAUGUGAUUGGCUUCACCAAUUUACCCAGAUGGGUUUCCAUGUGUGAGCAAAGAGAAGGCCAAAAAAAACAAAGUCUUCAUGAAGUAGAUCAUUUUGGACUUUACUCAACUAUUAGAAGAAGUACCUUAUGUAAAUAUGUGUAAUAUGAUAACAGACACAGUGGCAGAUACCCAAAUUCUGAGGGAACAAAUGGUGUUCCCUAGACAUAACCCAACUAUAUAUUAGUACACGUGAUUCACCAGACUUACUGAUUUUGAAUCACUCAAUUUUAGGUCACCUCUCCCCAUACAUAACUUAUCAAAUUCAUCAGUGUCAUACUAAUACUUCUAAAUCCAUGUUAGGGUGUGAGGAGAAAAACUUAGUUUCAACGGGAAUAACACUAUCUCUAGCCAAUAAUACUAUACCGCAUGGAAAAAUUAUUAAGCGUGUUAUAGCGUUAUUGACUGGAAAUAGCAAAACAGUGAGAUCCCUAUUUUAUUCAAGUGUUUCUCCUUAGCGGCCAUUAGAUUUUGCAAUAUUUCUAUACCAAAUCAAAUCAAACACCUUUCUUUAGCUGAUUCAGUAAGUACGAUAUAAUAACAACAAUCAGCAAUCAAGAAAGUGAAGAAGAUUAAACAAAUGGUCAAUAGGGCUAGAUAGACAGAUACCAUUCUGGAUAAUUUUAAUAGAAAACCACUGCAUCAAGGUUUUGAUUUUGAUAGGCUUGCAGAAGCAAAAGAACCACUUGAUGUUAGUCUAAAACCUUGACUACUUUUUUGUGUUUUUUUUUUCACUUUGCACAAAUAUUCCACAAGAAACUUGAGUACUAAAUUGGCUUCUUUUACAUGCAGGUGGGUGGCUGAGGAGGACACGAUUGUUAACUUUCCCACAGUAAGAAUGAAGAGGAGGAUGCCAGUAAGGGUCAAAAGGAAAGGGGACCACUAGAGCCAGCCUCAAACUUGGCCAGAAAGUUUAGGUAAUUUGUACACAGAUGAUACAAAACAACCAGACAUGAAAAGACAACAAAAAAGUGUUUUUGGCCCCAGUGCACACGUGUGGUGCAUCUGGCUCAUUUUGUCUUAUUUGAUAGUUUCUUGCACAUAUAGACAAUACAAUUAUCCGACCAAGAAAUAGACAAGUAUAUCAUUUUUGUGGGGCCCCUAAUUAAAUCCCUUGGUUUUUCACUUGUUCCUUUUUUUUUUUUAUACCUACCAAAGUUCCAUGUAUAAUCUAUUGACACUCGCUUUUAUUAGUAGCAAUCCCAUCAAGGUUGAAAUUUUUAAAACAUAGUUUUGAAUCAAUUUGAGUUGUGUUUGUGUUGUAUUGUAUGUAGUUGUUCUUACACAUCAUGAAUGUAAUGGAAGUCUAUAUCAUAAACAUACUAAAGCCAUAUCUUGUGAAGUCAUUGAUGAUUUUUGACUAUCAGAAAAAGUCUUUCUCCCUCCAUUUAUACACUGACACAAAGAAAUAUUUUUUUAUGUGAAAAAAGAAAAUUACAAGAGAAUCGGACACAAAGAAAUAUUAAUACUUACCUUUAAUCACCAUCUAGAAUUCAAGUCCGUCAUUACAUACGUAUGUUUAAGAAAAAAAUCAUAUAAAAUAAGUUCAUAAAAAGGGCCCUAAGUCACCUUUCACAAGCAUAUAUACUUGUGUUAAAUCCCGUCGGUUAUCUUUAUCACCACUCAUCAUGCUCGUCACGACCUAUUAUUCAUAUCAACAGCACUUUGUCCCCUUGAAUAAAUACCAAAUUACACUGAAUUUCACAAAACUAUUCUACAUUCUUAGAAUCAACACCUUUUCUUUGUGAAGCUUCAAUUUUUGUUUCACAGAUGAAUCGUACCACCAAACAUAUGAGAAAAGUGAAUGGUCAUCCUUUUGGGUAAUGGAACACCUUUGGUUCACUGCAUUAUCCUAUAACUCAUGCAAAGCCCAUCUCCCCCCAUCACAAACAUGCGUGUGUAAAGAAUGGAUAUGGUUUAACCAUCUGGACAGAAUAAUCUGCACAAGAAAGAGAAAAUAUAGCUUACUCGUGCCUAGCCUGAUUUGCAAGAUCUAGGGUUGCUUUAUUGAUCAUGUAGAAAGAGCAGGAAAAACAACAGUGAUUGUUGUCAUUCAAAACUACUCAUCCUGCUAGUUUAAUGUUUUCCAAUUCUCAAGAAAAUUCAACAAAAAUAAAAUAACAUUUUUCUUCAUAAUGAAUGAAGCCAUGGAAUUCAGCAUUUUCAUGAGGGAGCAGAUCAAACAUAUUUUCAGUAUUGCAUCCUAUUCAGUUGCUACCUUGUAGUAGUUUAGAGGAUGCAUUCUUUAAGGCUUUCUUUUUAUAGAUAGGAAUGGAGGAUUCAAACACGAUUGCAGAGUAGGAAGCACAUCCAUUCUAGCUAAUUUGGUUAAGCCCGUGUCUUUUUUUUUUUUUUUUCUCUAUCUUUCCCUUUUCCACUGAAGAAACAAAAAAAGCUCCGACCAAGAGAAGAAAAGCAAAAACGAACAAAAUCUUUCACUUCUAAAUUACUAUCUUGGGCCAGAAGAAAGCCACGCUUAAUUUGUCAAUGGGCUUAUACGAUGUGGAGCCGACCUAAUUUAAUGGGCCGGUAGCCGUAAGUACAACGUCUUUCGGAACAGUGUUAAAUGGCCUGAUGGGCAAAAUCAAAGCUUAGAGAAAACUAGCUAUGAAUUUUCUGACCAAAAUCAUCUCAGGACCUCUAACGCAGAGCACAUAGAGGUUUUCAUCGUUCAGAAUUUCGAUCAAACAGAAGGUGCGGAUUCUAGUUUGCCUUUUAUGCUUUUGUUUUCAGAAAAAACAGUUGUUGUUUAUGGAUGUUUAAUUCUAAAGAAUGAAAGAGAAUUGAAAUUAGGAUCUUAUUUGAAUUGCUUUUAAUUAAUUCUGUGAUUAAUUAUCGUCAGAAAGGAGAGGAACUGAGAAAAUUACCUUUUGUUUUGCCUUGAGAAGUCGAAUUAUUAUUAAUAUAUCGGUAUGCAUGUUGGUAUUUCUGGGUCUGAAGUAAUGAGAAGCUUGAAGUUUUCAAAACGUUGUUUUGUCUCCAAUUUCCUUCACUUUCUGGGAAUCCAAACUGACGCAUAAGGAUUAAUCAGACAUGAGUGGCUUAAUUAGUUGAAGAAAAGUUGGUUUGUAUAUGGUUCACAUUGACUGACCAAUUGUGUGAUUAUCUAGAAAAGAAUAAAGAAAAUAAGAAGCACCGCCAAAGUUGUAUAAUUGAUUUAAUUUCAGCUUGUACAAGCACUUCCAUGUUGUUUAAUUUGUUUUUUAGGAAAAAAACUAAAACAUUUUGCACAAGCUUCCAAUUGCUAGGGAUAAUGUUACUUUAGAGCAUUAUUUAAGGUAAAUUACAGAUUUAUCGCUAACAUACUCAUUCUCUAUCCCCCUUUCUGUAGAGGUUAUCUUUCCUACAGUUUUGUGGGUGGUUUUCAGGAUACCUUACAAUGGCAGGGAGACAUCGUGUUCCACGUGAAGCGAUUAAUGACCGGCGCGGCUACCCUCUUGAAGGACCUUUUGGUCGAGGUCCUCCAAUGCGACCACUUCCUCAUCCUGCAGUGUUGGAGGAAGAACUUGAAAUGCAACAUGCUGAAAUUCGAAGACUCUUGGCUGAUAACCGGAGGCUGGUUGAGGACCGAAUGACAUUGCAGCGUGAGCUUGGUGCUGCCAAGGAGGAAAUUCAUAGGAUGAAUGUUGCCUUUUCAGAUAUUCGUGCUGAAGAAGAAUUGCAAUCAAGGGAGCUCUUUGAGAAAGGCAGGAAAUUGGAGGCUGAUCUUCGGGCCACUGAGCCCUUGAAAAAUGAGGCUAAACAACUUCGUUCUGAAGUUCAGAAGCUGACUAAUGUUAGGAAGGAACUUUCCACUCAAGUUCAGACCCUCACACAGGACGUUGCGAGGUUGCAAUCUGAUAAUCAACAGAUUCCUCUACUAAGGGCUGACAUUGAUGGUCUGCAUCAGGAGCUUAUGCAUGCUAGGUAUGUACCCGCUGCUUAUUUGUCAUCAUUUUCUUGUCUUGAAGCUCCUUUUUAGUGUACAGAUUUUAUCAAGAUUGUAUUAGAUCAACUGCUUAUAUAUUAACGUACAAGUUUUGUUGUGUAGAAAUGCAAUCGAUUAUGAGAAGAAGGCGAAUGUUGAGCUUAUGGAACAAAGACAGGCAAUGGAGAAGAACCUAGUUUCUAUGGCUCGUGAAGUUGAGAAACUACGCGCAGAUCUUGCUAGGACAGAUGGUAGACCAUGGGGUGCAGGUAUUACUUAUCUGUCUGACUGUAUUCUUUUGGCAUUCAUAUCCUCCUCCUGGUACCUUUAUUUAACCUUCAAUUUGGUGCUGAAACUCCUCAUUGGCUUUUGAAAAGAUGAGAUGUCAGGUAAGUAGAUGUAUGAUAGACUGGUUAAACCUCUCUCUCUCUGACGCACACAUGCAGACACAUAUUCACAUACACACAUGCACACGCUUCCAGGUGCAUACAAGCACACUUAAAAACAAACUCACAUAGUGGUGAAACAAUUAUAGUUUGCUUCCCAAGUCCUAACAUAUACAUUUUGUACUGCAUUCUGUUCUUAUACACCUCUUUCUUCUACGGAAAUACUUGAUUUCGUGUUUAUUGAUUCUUUAAGUGCCGUCUGGUUAUUAGAUAGAUAAAUGUAUUUCAUCUUCCACAACCAGUUUUGGGAGUUGGGGUUGAGGUCUCAUCUUUUUCAAUUAUCUAAUACAGAAAUGAACUGUUUAUUAUUUCUUUGCAUGCCAAUAUUUAAAUUUAUUUUCCCCAUUGUCAUGCAGUGGAGCCAAAAAAAAAAAAAGAAAAAAAAAAGAGUUGUUUUGUUUAGGGUUAUGUUGUUACAUUUUGCUUUUACUCUUUUCAUUCACAUCUCAUCAUUUUCCUUUUUAAGGUGGACAAUAUGGGAUUAAUUUCAGCAGCCCAGAGGUUGCUUUUCCUGCUGCAUAUGGAGAUGGCUAUGGGAUGCGCAUGGUAUGUUUGCUUAUAUAAUUAGAAAUUUGAUUUGUUUCUUGCAAUCAAUAGAUUUCCAUGUUAAUUUUAUGUUUUCUUGGAAGUGUUCUGAAUGUCUAUCUAUUAGUUUUUCCCUUUUCUCUGAAUGAUCUUUAUGGUUAUCUAUUAGGGUGUUGCUGAUAAAGGGCCUAUGUAUGGGCCAGGUCCAGCUUCAUGGGGAGGACCUGAAAAGCCUCGCAUGACUCGUCGUUGAAAUCUGGAUGAUUAUGAUUUCAAUGACAGAGUAUACAUGCCACCUUUGGUUGCUCAUCAUCAGCAUAGAUGGUCAAGUCAUCCAUGUGUGCACGCCAGAUCAGUGGCCAUUUUUUUUUCUGAAUACAUCGUUAGUCAUCUUAAACUUAUGUAUAUAGGGUUUUAAUAUUGCUUUUCUUGAUUGCUAGACAUUAAUUCCCAUGUCUGUGAUAGUAGUAUAAUGUUUUGGAAUUUUCUGUCUCUAAUUUGCAUCAGUUAUAUCUUAUGUUGGUCAUUUGACCAUGUAACCUAUAAUGAGGAUUGUUUUUUAUUUGGAAACUCUUGAUUAUAUUUUUCCUUUUCUUUUCAUGGUGGGUAGAAGCAAACUUUAGAAUGGUAUGGUAACUUAGUAUCCAUUUAUGAACUUGGCAUUUUCUUAUAUCUAUCGAGAUGAACCCGUAUUUCUCUAACUGGUGGGGAGGCUGGAGCAUGUGUGAUAUGGAAUUGAAGGGAAGUUAUGUGAUCAUGGUCGAUUGCAUGAAUUUAAUGCAAUCUGCAUUUCUGUAAACGAUGCAAUUGUUGGGAUCAAGUUGUUGUUUCAUGAUUUAUGAACAUAAUGUGUUGGAGGAUAUAUUGAUAUAUGGUGUUCAAUUUGUUGGGGAUGCGGGUCCUUUUCUUGGAAAUUCCCUGAUGGUGGUUUUGGUUUCUGGAUAUUGUUGGAGGUCUGGAUAAGGAGUUAGGAUGGCCAUUUCGUUUCACAAAAUUACAAGAUUUCUUGUUGCUGUGAUGAAAUAUACUGUGAUAUGAAUUCUGAUUUCCAUAUUGUUGAGACUAGCUAACAAGUAGCUUUUCUUGAAUAUUGGAAGUUUGAGGAUGUAAGUGGAGCUUCCUAGAAUAGGAUGUUAUUGGGUUUAGAAAAUUGCGUACAUGAAAGUAUUUGCACAACUAGGAGUUGUGAUAUUCUUUUAGGUGGGUAGCUAGGGCCUAGGAAGUUGUAAUGCUCUGGAGGUAAGUUGCAGGCCUUUGUUUUCUCUAUUGGUAGGUUAUUUGACUAGGAGUCAUAUUAGAUGGGAUUCCAUAUGGUUUUCUAUCUGCCACAGCUUCUUAUUUUUGUGGCUGGUCUGGAUAAGUGGUCGUUGGAUAAGCACCAAAACUUUCUUUCCAAACAUGGACGAACAGUUGGCUGGCAUUAGAAGAAUGGAUUGUGGAAAUGUUGCCAGCUUAGACCGACUGAAGUAGUUCAGCACUAUGGGUUGUAUCUGUUGUUUUUGUUCUUAAUAUUUAUCUGCAGUGCAUGGGACCCUUUAUGAUGUAUUAAGUUUUAACCUGUGGAGUGUGUACCAAAGGGUUGUUUGUAUAAUUUCAAGUUUCCUGGGGAUUGGUUGAAUCUGUUUUAUAUUGAGAAGGUAAUGUAUCUCCAGUGUUGCUCCUUAUGCUCUAAAUAGCCAAGUUAGACUUCUCCAGUGGUUAUCUAUAAUCCAAUUUCAGGAGUGUGGUUGAGUGGGAUAAUCGGGAGUUGUUAUUUUAGCCUGAGGCAUUUAGUCUAUCAGAGGUGGAACUUUCUCCAAAUAGCCAAGUUGAAGCUUUAUAUUCCUCUUUUGAACUUGUUUAUUGAAAGUGAGUUGUAAAGUGUGUGCUUCUUCUCCAAUAUGAGGAUUGGUGGGAUUUGCUUUAUAAUGGACGUGAUGGUAGGGUGGAGGUAAGAUAGAUUAUAUUCAGAUAAAAGGGGAUGGAAGUUCACGGACUAGGAAUGUUCAUGUAGCUAUCCAGCAUAGUUUGAAAAACGCAGGGAUUUGUCAGUAAUGCAAUUCACUGCUUCUCAAAUACUUCGUGAGUAGUUUCUUGUUCUUCAUUUUGAGCUGUGAAUCUGCAACUUCCUUCAUCAAGAUAUUUCUUGCCACCCCCACAAUAUGACAAGUUGCUCCAUGCUUUGAAAUGACCCUGGAAUAUCUCAAGAAAGGACGGUGGCAUGCCAUUUGACAAGAGGCCAGCUACUGAUUUGAACUUAUAGGCAAGUAUCCUGUCUCAUUUUUAUGGGUUUCAUGGGUAUGGAAUCUUCUUUGUUUUUCCCUAGCUAGAAAUAGUAGCUGAUUUCUGUCUUGCAUGCUUCCUCUUUAAUGUCCUUGACAUCUUGCUAUAUUGCUUUUAUUUAGAACUAAUGUUUCUUUCAUCUUGAUUUUAACACUGCCUUCAACUAAUUUACUGUACACCAUUUAGUGAAUUAGUAUACCAUUAUAAUGCCGAGCUUUCUUCCUGAUCUUGUUUUUUUAAGGCUUAUAGGAUAUUUAGUUUCAGAUUGUACCCAUAGAUAAACCUCUCUAGUUGAUCGUUUCCGUAAGAAAAAAACCUUUAGCGGGUGAUCUUAAAAUUUCUACUGUUUGAUUUACUGGAAUAACUUGCGUUGGAAAAGUUGAUGAAACAUCUCAAGGAUGAGGUGAGAUCUUGCUUCUACUCUCUUGAAAGGACUUGUUACCGCUUACCAUAUAGAGAUGCUUACGCGAACUAAUAAAACUGAGGAGAUCUUGCUUCUACUCUCUUCAAAGGACUUGUUACCGCUUACCAUACAGAGAUGCUUACGCAAACUAAUAAAACUGAGUCUGGUCAGGACCGAAAUGGAGUAUUUUUCUUGGUGGAUUGGAGCAGCCUAUGGGCCCACCUCAUACUGAAGAAUUUAGUUUAAGUUUGGAGAUGGAGGAUUUAUCUUUGCUUGGAUGAUGUAUAUGGCAGUCCUUUUGUUAUUCAAUUUGAUGGUCUUCAUUGAGCUAUCGCAGUUAUAGGAACUGAUGUUUCUGAAGUUAUCAGACAAUGGUGCAAGUCUCUUGGAGAUACAAUUGCUGGCUACAGAAAUUUAGUAUGAAGCUAUAGUCUCUAUACUGCAAUGAUGAUCGAUCUCAUAGCUUGGAGCUGGACAUCAAAGACGGGAGAAGAUUUGAUAAAUUUGUUUCUACAUGCAGCCACAUGAGCAUAGUCCUUGUUUGUCGAAUGAGAUUGCUGAAUGAGAAAACUUAAGAUGGCUAUGCCUCCCAACAUCAGAUAAUCAAUAAGUGAGAGAAAGUGCUUUCUGAAUAUAGACAGACCCAGUCCAUUGGCUCAGAUGGAUUGUUUUGUCGAGGAUAACCUUUAAAACAAAAAUAAUAAUGUUUGAUCAAGAAAUUGUAGCUAAGUAUGUUACUUGUAUGGUCUAGUAGGAACUAAGAUAGAGUUUGACUGGAUUUUGCAACUUCUAUUGAAAUUAUUAUUAAGUUGCUGAUUUCUUCAUUGCUGUUUGCUUUUUGUAGACUGCUUUAACCUCUCCUUUAAGAUGAACUAUGAUCAGUUGAUUAUGCAUGCUUAUCUUGGUUUACACUGAAGUUGAUGAUUUCUUGUAUUUUGGUCUGUAUCACAUUAUCAUUAGUUAUCUUCAAUUGAUGGUUUAUCACAUUAGUUACACAACUUACUUGUAUUUUAAUUACUGUUUUUACCUAAUUUAUCAUUAUUCUUUUGCUGCAGAUGAAAGGAUAGUUGUGGCGGAUUGUCAAGUGAGAAAUCAGGUUUGUCUCACAUAUUCGAAGUGAGAAUAGAAGCAAAUGUGAUUUAUAUGAGAGGUUUGUUUGACUUGGAGAUUGGUAGAAGAAAAUAUCUUUACCCAGUUGUUGAAAUUGUUGAUUAUAGAAGAGUCUAUGCAACCUAUUAAUUUUGUUGGAGGUUUAAGUUACCUGCAACGCGAAUCCCAACCUGUAGAUCUAUCUCAAGUUUAGCAGGUGAAGAAGUGGUUUGUCAAGGAUGUAUCCUGCAGUUUGUCAUUUCUGCUAGUGAGGGUAUGUUGCCAUCUCGUUUACAUGAGUCAAGGUAAUUUGUAGGAUGUUAAGCUUCUUUUGAAGUUAAAAAAAAAAUUUAUUCAACUGAUUUUUCGACAAUAGAUAAAUGAAGGAAUAAUGUCUCUUGUUGCAGCUUGUGAAUAUGGAUUUCACCUUCCUCUUAAUGUACUGGUCGAAUAGGAGAUUGAAUUGGCCGUAUUUCAGGCAUCAUAUUUUCAUACUCAAUUUUGAAGUUUUAGGGCUUGUAUUGUCACUUGUUGAAUAGGAGAUUGAAUUGGCCGUUUUCCGGGCAUCAUAUUUUCAUGCUCAAUUUUGAAGUUUUAGGGCUUGUAUAGAAUCAGUAACUUCAAAUUGCUGUCAACGAGCACAUUGGUGGUGUUGGAGUAUUGAGGCACCCCUGCAUUUUGCUGCAAAACAAUAAAAUGAUGGCAAGUGCCAUUUUUCUCACAUGUAUUCAUCUCAUAUAAUGUUCACAAUCUUUUUAAUUGUCUUCAAUUGCAAAUUCACCAAGGACCCAUUUGGUUUUAUUCUGUAUCAUCAGUAUUUGCUUCUCAGUUCUCAGUUUUGGCGUCUUAAAUUAAUUUAUAAGGUUAGACCAUCCCCUUAACAGUUGAGAUGUGCCCCAGCGGCAUUCAAACUUGAAGAGAAAGGAUUCUCUCAUCUCUUUUUGCUUCAUUUGAAAGUGCAAAUAAAAGAAUGGGCAAAAAUUAUUAAAAUGUAACUUUCGUAUUCGCUAAAAAAUUUAUGCUCUUUUCAAUUACUUUUAUUUAUUUAUUUUUUUUGGGUCAAAUGUUCUUUUCAAUUACUAUACAUAAAUUAUUGGUACUUAUUCUUGGUGAACUUAAUUUGACCAGUCUGGACCAGUCUGGACCAGCCAGAUCUAAUUUUCAGGACACUGCAAAGUUCCGGCCGAGGAAUUGAAACUGAUUUUGAUGGAUGGAAAGGGAUGUGGUGUGUUGCCGUUUCCAAACGAGGUUCUUGAUGAGGUUAAGGUUAGGGUUGCUUUUCACUUUCUCAAUCCCAAGCCAGUUGAAGUGAGGGAACCUUCAAGGCAGUAAAAAUUCACAACCCAGAAAAUCCCACAACGCACCAUAUCAUCUAACCUCUGCCUCAGCAUCCAAGCUUACUUUAGGAAUAGCAUUGCCAACAUUAGUCUUCGACUUCAGUGUUGAAAAUAAAGCUCGGGAAGACUGUCGUGAUGUCCCUGGCAAGUCGAUAACAUAAUUAGAAUAGAUUUAGAGAGGAAGAGAAAAAGAGAUUCAAUCAUGACACUAAAUAAUAGAUUGAUAGAAGCAUUGAAAAAUAGAAAGGAAAUCUUAGGAAACUACUUUUAUUUUUUAUUUUUUUUUAUAAACAACUCUUAGAACACUAAUUGAUAUCAAAUGAAAGAAGUUUACUUGAAAGCAGAGGAAUGGAAGAGGAAGAUUACUGAAUGAUCAUUGGAAGCAAUAGUAAAACCUAAGAAGAAUUAAAAGCAGAGGAAUGGCAGUAAGCAAGUACUUUAAAUGUGGAAGCGUCAUGUUCUUUAGAAGUGUUGGGUGCUGAAGAGCAAAAGCUUUCCAUUCGUCUUUGCUAAUUUUAUCAUCCUUGUCAGAAUCAGCAUCUGCAAAUGUCUGUGCAACAAAAGAGAACUUUGAGAGUGUAAAACUUCAGAAUAAGGGAAACAUACAGAAAUUUUAGCAUCGGUAAUUCUUGCCUUAUCGACGAUAGCUUCAAGAGUUUCAUCUGGCACAUGUAUGCCAGAUUCCAACAAAGUGGCAACUACCAUUUGCCUGACCUGAAAGCAACCACAGCAGUUACUUAGAAGUAAUACAGCAGAUGAAAUAAUCGUUUGAAAAAUUACAAUGAAUCAAAGUGAAGACAUUGCAUCUUCCCAACUGCCUUCUUAGUCUUCUAAUUUUGGUGUUUUAUUUUUUUAUUUUUUAUUACUGUUGUUUUCAAUGAUUAAAGCAUUCAGGCAAGAACUUGUUCAUAGUCUGCAACACACCAAGAUACUUACUUCUUCCCGCUCAAUAUAUCCAGUUUGUCUCAAAUCAUACAACCUAAAUGCGACUGCAAAAAACCCAAAAGAGAGAGGAAGAAAAAAGUCCUUUAACAUGAAAUGCCUCCAAACUUUAAGCAGCUGAAGUUGGAUUGUAGAAUUCUUACAAUCAAUCUUGUCUUCAAGAGGAGCACAUGGAUGAAAAACACUAAGUGCAUGGACAAACCCCUCGAAUUCAAUCACGCCAUUUUUCUUUUCGUCGAAAACAUCGAACACCUAGAUUCCAUUUUGUCAUAGAUUGGAAGGAAACAGAUUAAUAUGUUAGUUCAGAUUCAUGUUCCAUAUAUAGUCACCAACGUAAUAGAACAGAUUAAUCUAAACUAGAUGGCUCAGAGUCACAUUAUAGAGUUUUUUAUUUAUUAAAAUAUUGCAUUGAAGGGUGAAAUUUCAUACAACUCUGCUCACAUUGGCAAUCCUAAUUUCCUGAAUCCCAUUCAAGCAGUCAAGAUGAACUGAAUUAUCAUAUCAAAUAGAGAGAGAGAGAUUUACUUUUUCAUCAUUGGAAUAAAUAAAAAUAAAAAAAUUGUCUCAAUGAACUCACCCUAUCCAGGAAAAGAUUUUCACCUGCUGGAGUUUUGAAUAGCGCCAACCUGAGCUCCUCCUGGAAAUGAGAAAUUAAAAUGAAGUUAAUAAAAAAAGGGAAACAUAAAUAAAUAACCCAGAAGAAAAGAAUUAAAUUUCAUGAUCCAUGUCAAAGAGAUAAAAAAAAUAUUUAAAAAUGAAAUAAACGAGGGCCCCCAUUACAAACACGUGCAUAAAUUAAUUAACCUUGUGAAUUAACCCAUCAUCAAGAAUCGAACUACUCAACUGGUUGAACAAUUCGCGCAAUGCUUCCACCUCAUUUACAGUAACUGACAGUGAAAAGUAAAAAAAAAAAUAAUUGAACCAAAUAAAAAACACAUUUUUAUUUAUGAAUGAAGGAGGAAUUAGUAGACAAACAUGGAGAGCUGGCAGCAAGGCGAACGAUGUCGUCGUAAGUGUAGGAGAGGCGCUGAUGAGGCCGUUGUCGAUCGAAGCAACCAAUUAAGCUGAAGAUGAAAGCAUCAACGAGAUCAAUCAGUGGUUUGAACACCGCGCACAGCUUCUCGCCUAGCAUCAGCGAGCUCGAACUCUCCUUAAUUAUUCAAAUCAACACAGUUAUUCAGUCAAAUUUUCUCUUUUACUUUUCUCGGCAACCAAACAAACACAAAUUAUUAGAGAGAGAGAGAGAGAGAGAGAGAGAGAGAAUACCGUAUACGCAGAAUUCUCUAUACGAAAUAGAAGAUCACGGAGAAACAAUCUAGGUCUCUCAUUGCUCGUCAUCAGCGUUUGGACCAAAUCAAAUCUCAAUUUGCUCUCGAAGGAUUCUGCGCAGAGAGAGAGAGAGAGAGAGAGAGAGAGAGAGAGAGAGAGCGCGAGAGAGAGUUGAGUUUACCGCUAACUUCAGAAAUCUGAAAAGAAGGGAAUUUACUUAUUUAUUUUAAUUUUAAAUAAAUUCUAGUUUAUAUGAAAAAUAAAAACAAAUAUCAUAUUAUUUGUUGUUCCAAAAACCAGUCGAAUUAAUUAAUUCUUCAAUCAUUAAUAGUUUGGUUUAAUAUGACGUAAUUUCAUAAAAAAGAAAGUCAAUAUAAUUAAUUGUAAUAAGAAAAUUUAUGAAAUAGAGUAGUCGAGAGAAUACUAGAGAAAUAAACACGAAAUUAUAAUUUAUCAUACUAUAGUGGAAAAGUAUGUUUGGUCAUCCAAACUUUUAAGUAUAUGUGUGUGAGUAAAUACCUCUCUUUUUCUUAUUGGACAUGAUUUAUUAACAUUUUGUAUAUGUUAAUAAACACAUAAAAAGCGAUAGUAUACUAAAUUCACACACACUACACGAAUGAUAUAAUUCGAAUUCAAAACUUUAUCUGAAAGAGUAAAUAUUCCAAAUCACUACACUCGUGAAUCCCUUACAAUCACAUCAAAUCUUUUAAUUAUUGUACGUAAGUGCUAAGCUUUAGAAGGCCCCACAUACUAAUUAGAGGUUACAAUUAUUAACCCAAAAACUAAAGAGCAUUGCUUUUGGGUUGCGUUGCAGACUUGCAAUUUCCCAUUCUGUGGCCAAGCUAGUGUAGUGGAUAUGGAUCAUAUGGCCUAUUCAUGACUCAGCAAUUUUGUGUGCUCUCUAUCCUCUCUACUAAUCAUUUAUAAUUUAUAAUUUAUAAUGCUUCUGAACCCAAAAAAGAAAAAGAAAAAAUCCCCACAAUUAUUCUGAGGAGGUGGGUGAGCAGAAGCAACAAUUAUUGACAUAUAAAUCAAUUCUUUAAUCUUUACAUCGAGGAUCGAUCCAUUCACGCAACUAAAUUUGUCAAAUGAAAACAGUGAAUAAUGUUUUUUCUUAUUUUCUGUAAAAUAAAAAAUAACUAAUAUUCAAAUAUAUAAUAUAUCAAGUCAGAGUAACAUUAAUAAUUAGUCAUUAGGGAGUAAUUUUCCCUGUUUAUGUAAUGGAAUUCUUAUUUCUCGCCCCAAAAAAAAAAAAAAAAAAAAAAAACUAGGUAGUAAACAUUGGUGGUAUCACUUUUGAUCUCUUGCCCUUCACCGCGGACUUUGUAUCUGGAAAAAGACCACCACUACCCUCCACGAGAUCUUCAACAUGACCUUCCUCUGUUACAUUCAUGGGGUAUGUCACAAGGUGAACGCCUUCCAUGUCGACCACUUCUUCACCACUGUAGGUUUUCCACAUUUGAUCUCCUAUUAAACGCACCGUUUGCACGCAUUCUAAGCUUUCGGGCUGCUUGAACAAUUCUUCGGCACGGCCAAUGUGUUCAUACCAUAAUGACAUCCGGUACGCUUCAAUGUCCCCUCCUGCGCUCAUCAUCGCCUUGUCGUCCCCAUUUUUCGACUGGUAGCAUCCUAUUGCGAUCUCGGUGUCUCGAUGACCGUCCAUCGAUCUUUGGUUUAUGUUUGCAGAUCCUAUGAUAAGGUAUGCAUCGUCCACUAAAACAAAGUAGGCACCAAAAAAGAAUGAGAAGUUACUUCAAUGAUAAACCAUCUAAGUCACAUGUUUAAAUGUACCACAAUGUUCUCCUUUUUAGCAUUACUCUACUUUAAUUGUCGAAAAUAAAAGAAGAAACAAGAAUCCAAACUAAAUAAUAAGUAAUAAAUAAUGCUACAUGUACCAUAUUUAUUGAUCACAUUAUCGACCAUAUUUUUCACAUAAGUAAGAGCGCGAAAUUUAUCUACGAAAGUAGAUUUCACUUAUAUAAGAUAUGCGGUUAGCUCAUAAAUAUAGUAAAAGUAAGUUUAUUGUUAAACAAUAAUUGAGAUCCACAUACAUACCUAUCAUGAGCUUGGAGUGGACAUACACCAUGAACCUCCUAUGCUUCUGUGCAUUCCCGUACUGUGUUGCAGAGUUAGGAGAAUGUGGAGGAAUAAAAUCUCCUUGGCUCUCUACUUCUCUGUUGGCAAGGCAAUAGAAGUUCAAAUAGUCUCUAGGGUGCCCUUCAACCCCACUCUCUUUUAUGGCUUCUCCAAUCAACCUAUACAUCAUUGACAUUGUCUCUCUGGUCCAGUGAAGUAUGUCUUGAACAGAUUCACUCUCAGGUAAGCCUUCUGGCCACAUUGGUAUCACUAUGUACACUGCAAAUCUCUCCUUUGCUUUUAUCUUAUUGACCACUUUGAGAGCAAUCUCAAUGGGGAUCAAAUUUCUGCAACCACAGUUCUGAUCUUUCUCCCACAAACGGCACCCUCCAAUGAAAUACUGGUUCUCAAUGUACAGAAACUUAUCGGCAUGCCUGAUUGCCUCGACAUAAGCUUCAUGGAUGCUUUGCUCCACAGUUAAGUUUCGGAACAAUUGGCUUGCUGAAACAUGGUCUAUUGAUCUAAGAACUUGGACAUUCCAACCCCUCUCAGAUGUUGGUUUGCUUGCAUAAGUCUGCUGAAUGAGACUUGUUAAGGUGCUUGAAGGGACCAAGACAGAAGGAUCACAUUGCUUAGCCCACCGCUGCUCGAAAUUCGUUAGUACAUCCCAAGCAGCCUCACCGGUUACACAAGCGUGAGCAUCGUGCCACGGAGUUCUUGGCCCUCCUUUCUGUAGGCUAGCCCCAGAAAUGUUGGUCUGGUAGAAAUCAGAACAGUGAGAUUCUGUGUUGAGUGUGUGAAAUAAUGAAUGUUGCUCUGUGUCAUAGCGCCCAUCACAAAGAUCUAGGCCCCCAAUGAAGCUCAUAAUUUCUCUGUCACUUGCACUGGUGCUGGAUUUGGUGUCCACAGUUAUGGUUUUCUGAUGGUGGGAGAAGAUUGUGGGAAACUUGUUGUGCAAUCUAGGGCACAAUCUGCAUAUUACUUUGGUGUGUGCAAAGUAGUAAAAUGCAUCUUCAUCAUGAGUUCUCAUUAUUCCUUUGUUCUUGAUAAUUGGUAAGGAUGUUUCGUCAUCCCAAAGCAUUAUUCUCACUGCCACACCUUCCUCAGCCUUCUGCUUUAGUAAUUCACCGAGCUUCACUCCUCGCGCAUGCGGGAUGUCUGUUUGAGGAUCCCUGACCUGCUUAAGAGCAUAUUAAGUUCCAAAAACAAAAUUAGGAGUAUUAAUUUGUAGCUAGGAAAUUGUGUUGCACUUCCAUUUACCAGAACCAUCUUAGGAUUGAAAGACCAGCCUGCAAUGUAAAUCAAAUUCUUUGCCCCCUCCAUGGCUUUGUACACAUCCUCCCAUAGUCUUCUUGGAGUCCCACAAAGCUCCGAAGAAGGCUUGAAAGUUGAGCAAUGAUGAGCAUCCUGAUAAAGAGUGACAUGACUAUUGGAUCUUUGUGGAAAUGUUGCAUUCCUUAGCCCCUGGAAUUGAACAUUAUCAGCCGUCAUCUGUCCCCAAGUUGGUUCAAAUUGCGCCGGCUUAAACCAUAACAUGAACCGGAGCUUGAGCUCUGGAUUUGGCUUCCCAUUUUCGAUCACCAGAGGGAGGAAACUGUUGACAAAACUUGCUUCAUUCAGUAUCUCAUGUGCCUGCAUUUGAAAUUUUCCCAAGAUGGAACAUUUCGUUUUCAUGGUAAUGGUAAUCGUUGAAUCAGACGGAUAAGCACAGAGGAUUCGAAAGGUUUGGUUCCAAACACGGUCGCGUUCAUGGGUUGUCCUUGCUACUUUCUUGUUGUCUAUCUUGAUGGUCACACAUGCAGGCUUCCCAGCUCCAAAAAUACACUGCAGAACAGAAUUUCCACACAAAUUUUCAUUCCAACAAAAACCAAAAUCUAUAAGACAACGAUCAAAAUAAGCUACAAAAUCAAAUUUGGCUAAUGCCAUAAUCUUAAUUAGUACUUACAUUGAAGGGGAAAGGUGGUGGUGUGUAGGGUGUGGCAUGGAAAAUGGUAGCUUCAAGUGUUCCAUGAAGAAAGUCAUGUACCUUUCCCUCCAUAGUUUUUGCCUUCAAACAAUCUGACUAGAGAGAGAGAGAGAGAGAGAGAGAUUGAGAUGGGUCAAUUAGGUAAGUUUUCUAUGUUGCAAUAUAGAAGAUGGAAAGGGAAACUUUGAAUGCAAAUGAUGAUAAGGUUGGCGGCAGUAGGAAAAACUUGUGAAACCUUCAAUGUCCAGUCUUAGAGGCAACCUUCAACUCCAUCACAAGUUUUUACGUCAAGUUUAAGUAUCUUAAACUAACACAUUUCCUUCCUUGGGCCAAAAACCUGAUUUCAUAAUGUCCCAUUUUUCUGGUGUUCCAAAGGGAUUAUAAUAAAUUUGAGACACAUCUAAGAAUUAGCUGACCGCGUCAUCGAUGAACUAGACAACCCGAAUUAAGAACUUGCUUAAACAAAAUUUUGCCAAACUUUGAAAGUCAUUAAUUUUUAAUGCAUUUCUGGGUUGCCCAACACCGCAUAAUUGGCAACCCUCAUCCAGUUGAAUUUUACCAAACAAAAUUUGUCUACUUAAAACCAUUGGAGCCAUUGUCUUCUGUGUAGAUUCCCCAGCAAAUUGGAGAUCUAUGUACACGACCUAAUCAUUAGUGAUGUAAUAAUUGAGCAAGUCAAAAUUAAAAAAUAUAUAUACAUAUAUAUAUAAAUUAAAGUCAAGGGUAACUUUAUGUUUAAGGAUCUUGGUUUGGAGGAUGAUGUGCGGGAGGUGAGACGUGAGAUUAUAGAAAAUGACUUAAGACACGUUAUAUGUUUUAAUGUCAAACGUUACAAAUAGAAAACCAAAAGAGAAAGAACAUCAAGAAACGUGAAAAGGUUUCUACAAAAGCUAACUAAAUGGGUUUAAAACAGGAAGUCAUAGGGCAAUAUGGAAGUGGAUUUGACAUUAAAAUAUAUAUAUAUAUAUAGGGAAAAAAAAUUCACAUGUCCUUCAGGGGGAAAUAAAAGAGAAAAAUCAAUAUGCGAUAUAUCGAAUUUAAAUGCAGUGUAUGAAUCAGGAACGAAAGGGAACGUUUUUAACAAAUUUCGACAAAAUAGUAAGCACAAAAACUUAAGGUAUAUAUUGAUUCGUAGUAUUUUCCAUGCAACAUCCUCCAGGCAACUUCAUGUACUAAGAGAAAAGCAUGAUGAAUAAGCAAAUUUUAAGCAUCAUUACAAUAAAUUCAAUUUUUUUUUCUUGAAAAAGAAUAGGAUUUGUACAAAGCUAUUUUUACAACUAGUGAUGGAGCUAGAAAUGUUGUCAUCGGGGUUCAACUUUAGCUAGUGUGUUUGGUUGGCAUUGCAAAAUAUAACUCUCUACGUGCUCAAAUGAUGUGCUAUUUAUUUGACACGCUAAAAUUUGACAUAAUUUUUAAGAAAUCAAUAUUGAAAGCUAAAAUAUUUAAUUUUUAAUAAAAUUUAAAGGGUCGUGGUGAUUUCAUGAAUAUUAAUUCCAUUUCAUAACACAUAGGCUUCGAUUUAAUUAUGUAGAGUUUAAUGAAGUUUGUUAGAGAACUUUUACGAAGUUUGAAAGUCGACAUGUCAAUCGGUUGUGUUUUUGCGGGUUUAUAUCACGUGAUGUGAAACUUAAAUCAACCCCAACACGACUACAUAAGCUAAUGUACUAGCGGACCUAUAAAUUUUUUAACGGAGAUGUAAUAUUGACUAAGUAUGAAAAAUGGUUUUUCAGAAUAAUCAUUUUCUCAAGAUAAUUUUUGGCGGCUUUUAUUCCUUACACAUCAAAUAAGAAAACUUGAUUUUAUGGGAUUUUAGUAUGAAGUAUAUAUUGACUUAAUGAGCCAUCAUUUUUAGAAUAAAUCGUAUUUUGCACUAAAACUGAAUUUUCAUAUUUUGAUAUGGUGGGAAUUUGAUUUUCUAGUAUUUUUAUUUGAAUCCAAAUAGGGGGUACUUCCUUAUUUACAUUGUAAAGCCAUUUACUUAAAUGUUAAAAAUGGAAAUAAGGUAAUAUGUACACUAGUUGAGCAAAUGGGCAAUUUGAAGCACCUACAAUGGUUUUUCCGGUGAGGGGAGAUGCAGCUACACCUCCUUGCGCCUCGUUAUUUUUUUAAAAAUUAAAUAAAAUGCAUUUUGCAAAAUAAAUAUGUUAUUUAAACAUUAUAGAUUUUUAAAAAAAAAUUGUUUAAAUUACAUGCUCAAUAGUCCAGGAAAAAACAUAACAUAAAACUACUUUCUUUCCUAACUAAUCGGUAACGAGUUAAAUGAGGUAACACAAAAAUACCCAUUUUUACCAAUUCACAAAUGAAUACACUCAUUAGUCGUCAACGAGAACACUGAAUUUUUCAUGUGUUAUUGUCGUUUUACAAGUUGUGCAUACUUUUGCCAAAUCUAAUUCAAAAGGCGUAAGAAAUAACUAAUAAUUGAAAUGGUCGUAACACGGUUGAAAUGUUAUGCUACGAGAAGAACCAAAAACAACAAACCAAAAAAGUUCAAACCUAAACAACAAAGUCCAUCAACAAACCAGAAAAAAGUUCAACACCAUACAAUAAUUAAGGACAAACAGAUAUGAUGAGAAGAGAAAAGCAGCAUGUAGAUCUAUAUAGAGUAUUUUACCUUCAGUUCACAAGCAGAAUGUAUAAAUAUUCCGAAGAGAAAACAGAACAUGCGUCUAAUGAACACUUCAAAAUUUGUAGGUACAAUUAGAUUUGUACGACCUAUAUGAUAUUUAUACACCCCAAUUUAAAAAUCCACAACUUUAUAAAUUUCUCCAAAGUUAAUGACUUUUUCAAUACUUUUUUUACUUUUUAAAAAACAUAAUUAAAUAUACAUAGAUUUUUAGUUGCUCUAUAAAAGUCUGAACUGAAUCCCCUAGAAAUUAAUAAUUUUAAAAAAUUUAUUAAAAUCUCGAUUAAUUAUUUUUUUUAAAUAGAUUUUUUUGGUUGUAAAAUAAAGUAGAAUUACAAAGAAGAUCCUCGAGUGAUGUUAUAACCUUACAAGUCAAACUUAAACUUUUUUUUUUUUUUCUUAAUACCUGAAAGAGAAAUUACCACUUGGAAAUGAGGAUAAAAGGCAGCAUAAAUGUUGGUUAAUUAUGGGGAAAAAGACUUGUGAUUUGACAAAUGGAGACACUAGAGUCUAGAGCAUGAAAAGGUGAAACUUGCUUCUUUCCUUUUCAAGCAAUGGGCAACUCAUUCAAUGAUGUUUAUAUCUGUUUCUAAAGUCAGAAGUUCAAAAUCCAAUUAUGAGGUAUCCAGCUAAUAUAAAAAAAAUUUAUUUAAAAUUAAAAUAAUCAAAUUUCAUUUUCUAACUUUUACAACUUUAGUCUAUGUCGUUUCAAUUUGUUCAAAAUGAUUAAAAUGGCAAAUUAUAGAGACCAAAAGUGACUUUUUGCCUAACAUAAAAAUGGGUUUCAUUUCUUUAUGCAACACUAGCCCCUCACGCAUGUGCCAAUAGAUUUUUUUUUUUAUUUUUUAUUUUAUUUUUAGAAUUAAGAAAGAUAACAUGGGCAGUUAUGUUCCAUAAAAAUAUGACAUAUUAUUUGAUUUGAUUUUUAAUUUAAUUUUUUUAAGAUAAAAAAAUAUAAAUUUACCAUAUUAUCCUCAUUUAAUUAAUAAUUUCAAUUCUUAAUGUUUAAAUUAACCAAGAAUAUUUUAUAAUAUUUUGAAUGUUUCACCAUUCUUUAUCUUUUAUUUUAUAUACAUAGAUGGUGAACAAUGUAAUUAGUAAAUUGGACAAAAAUUUAGUAUUACUCUUAAAAUUGUUUUGAUUUUCCCCUUUCGUACUUUUGAUUGUGUUGCCCCUGGAGACUUGCACCUACUAUCAUUAAUCAUCCUAUAAUUUCUUAGCCAAAUGACCAAUUUGACGCUUGUAAUUUGGCUCUUUUUUUUCAUUAGCUACUUGUGAUUUUUUUUUUUCAUUGGGGUUUUAUAGUUAGUUUAUGCACACAAUCCAUGAAAAAUUUAAGUUUUUCAAUUCGUGCAUGGGAUAAAAGCACUUCUUGACAAUAACAAAAUUCUUCUGAUAGCAUUUAGUAGAAAAGUUUAGAAAUGCUUAUGAGUGAUAAAAGCACUUUUGAGAUAAGCAAUACCAUGUGCUUUAUCUAGAAGUACUUCCCAGUGCUUUUUUAAAAAGCACUUCGAUUUCUUAUGAAAUUUCAAUAUUUUUAUAAUAAAAACCUUUUUGCUAAAAGCGAUUAUGUACAAAAGUGCUUCUUAGAUAAACAAACCAAACAAGCCCGAAAUCUUUUUCAAUCAGGUCUUUAUAGUAAGGUUUUGUUUCAAUUAGGGCUUGUUUGGUAGGCCUCACUGAGCUGGACUGGGUUAUAUAACAUUUGAAACCCAUGUUUGGUAAGAGGGGGUACUAAGUUAAAUGGGAUUGUAUAGGACAACAGUAAAAAAAACACCUUACUCGCUGUUCUAAUAUUGCGAGGUUGAAAAGGGGUUCGCAAAAUAACACCCACUCUAUAUAGAACAAGCGAGUCUUAAGUCCUCUUUCUCUCUCGUUUCCUUCAGCAUCGCCUCUCCUCUCUCUCUUAUUUCCUACUAAGGUAAGUUUUCUGGCCUUCUCUGGAGAUGACCCAUAACUCCUAUACCAACCUCCAUAACUUCUGGCCUUCUUUGGAGAUAACCCACUCCAACUCCAAGGCCAGCCUUCA
rnacentral:lncRNA from 1 species